rnacentral:rRNA from 1 species
GAUGAACGCUGGCGGCGUGCCUAAUACAUGCAAGUCGAGCGAAUGGAUUGAGAGCUUGCUCUUAUGAAGUUAGCGGCGGACGGGUGAGUAACACGUGGGUAACAUGCCCAUAAGACUGGGAUAACUCCGGGAAACCGGGGCUAAUACCGGAUAACAUUUUGAACCGCAUGGUUCGAAAUUGAAAGGCGGCUUCGGCUGUCACUUAUGGAUGGACCCGCGUCGCAUUAGCUAGUUGGUGAGGUAACGGCUCACCAAGGCAACGAUGCGUAGCCGACCUGAGAGGGUGAUCGGCCACACUGGGACUGAGACACGGCACAGACUCCUACGGGAGGCAGCAGUAGGGAAUCUUCCGCAAUGGACGAAAGUCUGACGGAGCAACGCCGCGUGAGUGAUGAAGGCUUUCGGGUCGUAAAACUCUGUUGUUAGGGAAGAACAAGUGCUAGUUGAAUAAGCUGGCACCUUGACGGUACCUAACCAGAAAGCCACGGCUAACUACGUGCCAGCCGCCGCCGUAA